CCCGCGCUACUACCGAUUGAAUGGCUUAGUGAGGUCUUGGGAUUGGCUUCGGGGAGCCGGCAACGGCACCCUGUCGCUGAGAACUUGAUCAAACUUGGUCAUUUAGAGGAAGUAAAAGUCGUAACAAGGUUUCCGUAGGUGAACCUGCGGAAGGAUCAUUAUCGAGUUUUGACUGGGUUGUAGCUGGCCUUCCGAGGCAUGUGCACGCCCUGCUCAUCCACUCUACACCUGUGCACUUACUGUGGGCUUCAGAUCGUAAAACGGGUCCCUUUACCGGGCUUGCGGAGCGUGUCUGUGCCUGCGUUUAUUACAAACUCUAUAAAGUAUCAGAAUGUGUAUUGCGAUGUAACGCAUCUAUAUACAACUUUCAGCAACGGAUCUCUUGGCUCUCGCAUCGAUGAAGAACGCAGCGAAAUGCGAUAAGUAAUGUGAAUUGCAGAAUUCAGUGAAUCAUCGAAUCUUUGAACGCACCUUGCGCUCCUUGGUAUUCCGAGGAGCAUGCCUGUUUGAGUGUCAUGAAAUCUUCAACCUGCAAGCUUUUUGUGGUUUGUAGGCUUGGACUUGGAGGCUUGUCGGCCAUUCUUGGUCGGCUCCUCUUAAAUGCAUUAGCUUGGUUCCUUGCGGAUCGGCUCUCGGUGUGAUAAUGUCUACACUGCGACCGUGAAGCGUUUGGCGAGCUUCUAACUGUCUCAGUUGGAGACAACUUUAUGACCUCUGACCUCAAAUCAGGUAGGACUACCCGCUGAACUUAAGCAUAUCAAUAAGCGGAGGA
rnacentral:rRNA from 1 species